CGGGCGGGCGCGGCGGGGAAAGCUGGGCGCGCGAGCCGAGGCUGCUGCUCACCUGCAGCCGCGCCGCUCACCUGCCGCGGAGUGCGCGCCCCGCGCCCUCCCGGCCCGCUCCGGAGCCCGGCCGCCCCCCCCUUGCCACAGCGGGCAACUGCGCCGACAUGCGACACGAGUAGCCCACGCGCUUCGGAAGCACCGGAGGAGCCCCCUCGGCCUGGGCGAGCCAAGAAACCAAGAGAUCCAGAAAGCGCUCUGUCUCAUUUGCUGCGGCUGCAUCCCGUCCAGUCUCGCCCAGAGAGCGCGCUCGCCCAGUGAUGUGUAGCACCCUUGCACCCAGGAGGACUCUGCAUUUACCAAGCACUUCCACUGCCUGGCCAAGAUGGAGUCUCGCUGUCACCCAGAGUCGAGUGCAGUGGCACAAUCUUGGCUUACUACAACCUCCGCCUCCCGGGUUCAAGCGAUUUUCCUGCCUCAGCUUCCCGAGUAGCUGGGACUACAGGUGCGCACCACCACACCCAGCCUUAAGUUUGAAUAAUUUGUAAUUACUACUGGCUAUAAGAAAUCCUUGUUAUAGUUGAAUAAUAAUUAUCACUAUAAGGGCUAACACUCUGCACUCAAUUUGUUUCAGGGGCCAUGCUAACGACUUUAUGUGUAUUGACUUAUUUAUUCUUCACAUCCACAAAGAUGAUAUUUGGUAGUAUUAAUUCUACUAUUUAAAAGGAGAGUGUUCACACAUGCAAAUUGAGAGUGAUUCUUAUAACCCUUCUUUUGUGUCUCCUAAUCCUGUGUUGUACACAUCCCUGGAGCUUAACACACUUUCACUAUGUCUGGGCCAAAACUCUUCAACAAUUUAUUGGCUUAAUAAUCAAGGUUGCAUUUCAGAAGCCAUUGCAUUUAAAUACAGAUUGUAUUAUGUUUUUGUGCCUAACAUAUCAGUACAAAAUUUGACAGACACAGUAGUCAUUGUGAUUCUUUGUCAUAUCUGGCAAGCUAUGAAGAGGGGUAGGCAAAAGUCCAGAACCCGUCUCUAUCCUGCCAAAGUGUGUGGCCCUUGCCAGACCUCACCAGUGUGUCUUUCUCGCAUUUUUGAGAAGGGGCAGGGAAACUCCACACAUGGCAGAGUGAUGAGCUUGUGGAAAUAAUAAUGACACAACUAGAUUAAUGUGUGCAAAUAUACAGUGAGAUGGAAGAAAUGAGACCUGGUGUUCAGAUGAGUAGGAUGCCACAGUUAACAUUAACCAGUUGUACAUUUCAAAAUAACUAGAAGAGAAUACUUGAAGUGUUCCUAGCAUAAAGAAAAGAUAAAUGUUUAGGUGAUGGAUAUGCCAGUUACCAUGAUUUGAUUUUAUGAAUGUAUGAAAUUAUCACAUGCAUCCCUAAAAUAUGUACAUGUAUUUUUAUCAAUAAAGAAUUAAAAAAUAAAAUGAAUGACAAAAAGUAAUGACACUAUAUUUAAAAGUCACAGCAAACAGCACAAUGUAUUGAGUAUUUGCUGUUCCAGGCACUGUCAUAGGCGUUUUACAUAAGUGAAUUCUUUUCAUCUUUACAAUGACACAGUGACAUUUAGGUACUUUUAUUAUCUCCCUCUCACAGAUGAGGAAAUUAGGGAUUGAAAGAUGAAGUAACAUGCCACGAUAUCCCACCUGUUAAGUGGCUGGUCCAUCCAAGCCUAGAACCUCCCUCUUUACUACUAGACACACUUGCUUCCUGUCUGUCCUUGAGGAUUAACCUGGUGUUUGUCUCUGAGGCCCAACUACAUGAUAUUCACACCAACUGCAAUUCCUGGAAGACAUAGAUGCUCAGAAUUUCUUUGUUGUAUUGCCUCUAAAUAGAAGGCUAUUUUCCACCAAUGUUGGAGCCAGAUUCCUUGCUUCUGCUUAAACACCUGAACACAACUUAAGUCAACUGCAUUAAAGGUGUGGACAGGCCGGGCACGGUGGCUCACGCCUAUAAUCCCAGCACGUUGGGAGGCUGAGGCGGGCGGAUCACGACAUCAGGAGAUAGAGACCAUCCUGGCUAACAUGGUGAAACCCCGUCUCUACUAAAAAUACAAAAAAU
rnacentral:lncRNA from 1 species